rnacentral:lncRNA from 1 species
AGUGAGUUAUAUGCAGUUUGGUGAGACGCGUUUUCUCUGUUGCGAACUGGGAUCAGCGGAGUUUGUAAGUGCGAUCGUGGAUUGAUCGUUUCUCCGAUCGGCACCAAAUUUUGUAGGGGGCUUCGUGACGUCUGGAUCUUGCUUUUCACCGUAGGGAUUAAGAAGUUAACGGUUAGUUUAUGUUUUAGGGCUUCGUUUUUGCGGCUGUAGUUUUUUUGAUGUUUCUGUCCUUUUGGUUCUUAGAGAUUUGUGUUUGUGUGGUUUGUUGUAGGGCGUUGUUUGGCUGUUGCAGUCACGAAGAGAGUAUUUCCUGGUUGUUUUUGUAACUCAAAUCACCUUGUUAAGGUGAGUGCGUGACCAUGAGCUUAUCUAAGCGAUUGGGAUUGAGUGACUUGUUGUGUGAUGAUUUGUAGGUGAACUGGAUGUGUUAUUGGAUGUUUAGCUUGCUGGAUGGUUUGUUUUUGUUAUAUAUGUGGGUGUUAUCUCAUUGCUUGUGUGUAUAGCUCGUAGAUGGGAGGAUCGCCCUCACUAAGUAUUUAUGAAAUACUUAUGCAUCUCUUUCUUUGAUGCAGGUAAAAGCAAAGUGUGAUCCGUGGAAUCAUGGCGAGGAGAGGAGGAUGAUCUAGGCACUCAUUGGUGUUUUAGAUUAUUGUUGGAUUUGUUAGGGUGUUAGAAUGGAAUUUAGAAACAUGUUAGGAGGAUCAUGUUUUGGAAUAAUGUUUGGUUGAACUUGUUGGUUUAAUAGAAUCGUAUUAUUGGAUUUUUGGUUAAGUCUUCCGCUGGAUAAUAUUGUUGGUUUACUUUAAUGAGAUUGCUUGGUUUAAUUGAUUUAAAUUAUUAUGGCCGGUUUAGCUGGUUCGAAUUAAUUGGGUUAAUCCGGUUUGCAUGUUUAAAAGAAAA